GGCUAAGCGAGGAGCGAGAUUGGUCUGGUGCUGGUGGGGGAUUAUCUAGUUGAUGUAUUUACUUUAUCGCAUUUCCAUUUUGUCGAUAAAGUCUUGAUGAAUGAGAUACUUUGUUUUUCUUUUGAAUUUAAGCAAUUUACUCGCGGUUAUAUGUCUUCAUACAUAUAAUCGAUUCAUCUUUUGCUGCGAUACUCUGUAUAUUGUGAAUCCUUAUGAAAAAUGAGCCAUACCCGUUUUGUUUUUGAUCUUGAAA
rnacentral:lncRNA from 1 species